AGCUCUCUAAGUAAUUUAUUUUUUGAUAAUUUUUUAUCAAGUUGACUGUUUAUUUUUUCUAAAACCGUAAAAUCAAUGUGUAAAUUUCUAAACAUUGUGAAAUUAUUAAUAUUUGUAUAAUUUACAUGUGCUCCUUAUAUUAGAUUUAUUCUAAUUUUGUUUUUUCUUUCAGAUUUUGAAUAUGUCAAUUCAUUAAAAGUGUA